AAAGAUUAGUCUACUCAGGUGUGAAUUAAGAAUGGUCUGUCCUUUGAAAAAUGUCUACUGUGAUUGGUAGAUGUGAGAACUUAGGGGAGGUGACAUAGGAGAAAAUUCCCUUUAAAUAGGAGCUCAGAUUCAUUCACAUGGACAUUCAGAUUCAAGCAUUGAGCUGGUGGAGUAUUCUGAGAUGAAGCUGGCCUGGUGUCACUAGAAUCCUUGCUUGGACAGAUCUUGUGGUGAGUGAUUAAGGACUGACUGAUCUUUCUCUUAAGGCUUAGGCCUGGGUUGGCCAGGGCUGCCCUGGGCUGGCCUAUCCUUUUCUCAUUAUUUCCCUUUUCUCUCUUUCUCUCUUUCUUUAAUACCUCAUUGUAUUAAUUAAUUAAAAUCUCUAUAAAACCCAGUUGACUUGGGUAUAUUUCAUAAUUGGGAAUAUUUCCCUGGCGACCACCUUAUAUUUGAUUUAAAAACAAAACACUGUCUUGAAACCAUAUUUUCUGUGGUCACAAUUUAAACCAUCCACUCUUUUAUUUACUACAAUUUAAGUCUUCCACUAUUUUAAUUAUUACAGUUUAUGACCUCAACUAUUUUAAUUAUUACACAAUCCAUGAUAUGUUUGCCAAUAGGAAUUAUGUUGAUGUGACAUCAAAAUAACUUUCUUAUGUUUUUAAUUUACACAUAAAAAAUUCUCUGACUUUGUAUUCUUUUACACAUAAUGCAAUUGGCUUUUUGUUAACUCAAAUGGCCUUGACAGUCAAUGUAUAUGUGGUUUGUGAUUCUAAAGGCAAUGAAAAUGAGUAGGGUUCUCAUUUCUCCAAAUGUUUCUUUUCCUUCUUUCCCAAUCCUGAGCCUGAGCUUGGUUUCAGAUAGGAAUUAUAUCAAGGAGAAGGCAAGAAAGCAAGUAGAGAGAAAGAGUUGUGAGCAGGACCUGAGGAAAAUGCAUGAAAACAGGCAGAAGUAAAAUAAAGAGCUCCUUCUUCCACCCCA
rnacentral:lncRNA from 1 species